rnacentral:rRNA from 1 species
GACGAACGCUGGCGGUGUGCUUAACACAUGCAAGUCGAACGGAAAGGCCCUGCUUUUGUGGGGUGCUCGAGUGGCGAACGGGUGAGUAACACGUGAGUAACCUGCCCUUGACUUUGGGAUAACCUCAGGAAACUGGGGCUAAUACCGGAUAGGAGCUCCUGCUGCAUGGUGGGGGUUGGAAAGUUUCGGCGGUUGGGGAUGGACUCGCGGCUUAUCAGCCUGUCGGUGGGGGAGUGGCUUACCAAGGCAUCGACGGGUAGCCGGCCUGAGAGGGUGACCGGCCACAUUGGGACUGAGAUACGGCCCAGACUCCUACGGGAGGCAGCAGUGGGGAAUAUUGCACAAUGGGCGGAAGCCUGAUACAGCAACGCCGCGUGCGGGAUGACGGCCUUCGGGUUGUAAACCGCUUUCGCCUGUGACGAAGCGUGAGUGACGGUAAUGGGUAAAGAAGCACCGGCUAACUACGUG